rnacentral:rRNA from 1 species
GACGAACGCUGGCGGCGUGCUUAACACAUGCAAGUCGAACGGAAAGGCCCUGCUUUUGUGGGGUGCUCGAGUGGCGAACGGGUGAGUAACACGUGAGUAACCUGCCCUUGACUUUGGGAUAACUUCAGGAAACUGGGGCUAAUACCGGAUAGGAGCUCCUGCUGCAUGGUGGGGGUUGGAAAGUUUCGGCGGUUGGGGAUGGACUCGCGGCUUAUCAGCUUGUUGGUGGGGUAGUGGCUUACCAAGGCUUUGACGGGUAGCCGGCCUGAGAGGGUGACCGGCCACAUUGGGACUGAGAUACGGCCCAGACUCCUACGGGAGGCAGCAGUGGGGAAUAUUGCACAAUGGGCGGAAGCCUGAUGCAGCAACGCCGCGUGCGGGAUGACGGCCUUCGGGUUGUAAACCGCUUUCGCCUGUGACGAAGCGUGAGUGACGGUAAUGGGUAAAGAAGCACCGGCUAACUACGUGCCAGCAGCCGCGGUGAUACGUAGGGUGCGAGCGUUGUCCGGAUUUAUUGGGCGUAAAGGGCUCGUAGGUGGUUGAUCGCGUCGGAAGUGUAAUCUUGGGGCUUAACCCUGAGCGUGCUUUCGAUACGGGUUGACUUGAGGAAGGUAGGGGAGAAUGGAAUUCCUGGUGGAGCGGUGGAAUGCGCAGAUAUCAGGGGGAACACCAGUGGCGAAGGCGGUUCUCUGGGCCUUUCCUGACGCUGAGGAGCGAAAGCGUGGGGAGCGAACAGGCUUAGAUACCCUGGUAGUCCACGCUGUAAACGGUGGGUACUAGGUGUGGGGUCCAUUCCACGGGUUCCGUGCCGUAGCUAACGCUUUAAGUACCCCGCCUGGGGAGUACGGCCGCAAGGCUAAAACUCAAAGGAAUUGACGGGGCCCCGCACAAGCGGCGGAGCAUGCGGAUUAAUUCGAUGCAACGCGUAGAACCUUACCUGGGUUUGACAUGGAUCGGGAGUGCUCAGAGAUGGGUGUGCCUCUUUUGGGGUCGGUUCACAGUGGUGCAUGCCUGUCGUCAGCUCGUGUCGUGAGAUGUUGGGUUAAGUCCCGCAACGAGCGCAACCCUUGUUCACUGUUGCCAGCACGUUAUGGUGGGGACUCAGUGGAGACCGCCGGGGUCAACUCGGAGGAAGGUGGGGAUGACGUCAAGUCCUCAUGCCCCUUAUGUCCAGGGCUUCACGCAUGCUACAAUGGCUGGUACAGAGAGUGGCGAGCCUGUGAGGGUGAGCGAAUCUCGGAAAGCCGGUCUCAGUUCGGAUUGGGGUCUGCAACUCGACCUCAUGAAGUCGGAGUCGCUAGUAAUCGCAGAUCAGCAACGCUGCGGUGAAUACGUUCCCGGG